AUAUAUGCAUAUAUGUUGACUGGCAACUAACUUGUCUGAAGCGUCCAUCACCUUGAAUCACAUCAACCAGAUCAUUCAAGAGAUUAGUUUUUACUACGCGUCACUUAUUUUCUCCACACAAAUUGAUAUGGUUGUGCUUAAUUAGGUAGGUUACUAGACACGAUUCAGAUUCUUCUCGGCAUGUCGCUGUGUUCAACAAGCAAGGUGGACUUCUUUUAAUUUUAUUCUUCUAAAUAUAAAGAACAGCUUCAGUUAAUCAAGCACACAUAUCAAUCACCUGGAGACUCAUUCUUAUCCACUCCUCACUCAUAGACCAAACAACAUGCAUGUGAAAGCAAGGGAAACUAAAUUUUAUACAGAUGCAACCAAUAGCACAUCUCAAUGACACCAAAAGCAGCUGCAAUUCACUCCUCACGGAAGCACCAGAUAAUAUAAGCAUGGGAAUAGUACCUUGUGCAAAUUGAUGGUGCAGCUGUUACGUUGGCUAUUAACAUGAUGC
rnacentral:lncRNA from 1 species